CACUUGUAUACGAUGAAAGUAUAAAAUAAAUAAUUUUAAUCAACUAUUUUCACGUAAAUCAAUAACAAACAGCAAUGUUGUUAUUUCUGCACGUUUCCGAGGUAUAACCCGAGGUGGUUGGGCGUGGUUGUGGGUGAUCGAGGUGAACGAGAAAGAGGACCAGAAAGACUAGGAGAACAAGGUGGACUAGGAGGACGAGGAUUUGUGCACGGUAUAACCCGAGGUGAUUAGCGGUGGAUGGAGGCGGUCGAGCUGGACGAGGUGGAGGACGAGGAAGACGAGGAUUUGUGCUCGUAUUUGACAACAGUGAUACCUUAUCACAUGGACACUGGCCCACCUAAUAAUCAAGCAUUACAAGUCCUCAUUAAGAUAUUGAAGGCUAUUAAUGAGGAUAGUCCAACGGUGCCCACAUUAUUAACGGACUCUAUAUUAAAAGAUCUGUGCCCCACCUAGUGAUCCACUAGUACAUAUCCUCCGACGUGACAUCGCUGUG
rnacentral:lncRNA from 1 species